rnacentral:rRNA from 1 species
UACAUGGGGUGCAAACGUUGCUCGGAAUUAUUGGGCGUAAAGCGCACGUAGGCGGUUCGUUAAGUCGGAUGUGAAAGCCCUCGGCUCAACUGAGGAAGUGCACCCGAUACUGGCUAUCUUGAGUACGGAAGAGGUAUGUGGAACUCCGAGUGUAGAGGUGAAAUUCGUAGAUAUUCGGAAGAACACCAGUGGCGAAGGCGACAUACUGGUCCGUUACUGACGCUGAGGCUCGAAAGCGUGGGGAGCAAACAGG